CUGGCGAGGGUCGCUUCCUCGCGUCCCCCAACGCGUUCCCGUAGACCCGAGCCCAGGCGGUGGUCGGGGGCGCUGGACACCCGGAGACCUAGCGUGAUUGAUUGACAGAUGAGUUCAGGUCGCUAACAUUCAGUGUCUCUGUGAGCUGAGAUUGCAGUCAAGACCUGGGGCUUUCUCGACUGUUCUGGGCUUGAACUCAAAAUUCUCGCCAUGGUACAGUGGAAAGCUUUGAAGACUGACGGUCUAGGGCUGAAUAGGAAGGCUGCUCAUACCAAGAAGACGGGUGCCCACCAGCUGCCCUCCCGCGGUGCCACCAGGAUGAUUUGAGGAAGUGUCUGGGCUCCCUCACCUUCCUCCUCCUUGACUGUUGUUGGAGCCGUAGCUGCAGAACAGCAGCUCUGCCACCUGCUGGACAUGUGAGGCAGCACGUCCUCCUCCAAUUCCAGAAGCAUCGUCAUGGUGGUGCCGGCUAGGGGAAGUUUUUCUUUGUUCACUCUGAUGGAAAUAGCAAAACUUAGCAGAAAAAAA